rnacentral:misc_RNA from 1 species
UUCUAUUUCACAGUCUCAUAUUUCACGCUCAAUCGACCUGACACGUGACAUGUCGAAAUCUGGGCAUUUCUGAUCCUCAGAAAAGGGUCUAGAACCAGGGACGAAAGUUGUGGGAUUGGAUAGAUCAAAGUGCUCUUACCGUCGCCCCGUCGCUUUCGUCUGUGAAGUUUCCAUGCUGAAGGGAUAUGGAGUUUGUCUGGUUGCUAGUGCCCGUCGGGCGACUGCUUUUCCCCAGAAAUUUACCUGUGGCCCCGGAGUGUUUCGAGUCUUCCUUGCCUCCGCUACGGAACACCACGUAGACCUACAUUAAAACAGAAUUUCAUUAUCCUGCCUUCGCUGACUGUGGAAAAUUGCCUCUGCAAAAUAUUCAAAGCGUAAGAAAGGAUUUGGAUUGUGGAGAAGCAUUUAGGCUCCUUACCUUCACUUUGCCAUACUUCCAAGUGAAAAGGGCGACAGCGGGCAGGCAGGCGAUGACGCAGCAUUCCAGGAUGAGGAUAGCAGUUCUCAUCAACCAGUUCAAGGAUACCACACACGGUGAAUCGUCCUCACAGGACUCGCAACCCUCAGCACAGGGAAGACACUCGAACACGCCAUCCACGUCGUACUGAUUCUCUUCACCCUAGAAAUAAGAC